rnacentral:lncRNA from 1 species
AAAAGAAAAACGAUAAGGAGGUGCUAAGAUUUAGAGGCUGAGGAGGAGAGUGGCUCCAGUGUCAGCUGUGUUUGAAACACCUACAACAAGCUGCUGCAGGGCUGAGCUGCACAUCAGCGUCUGUACACACACGUACAGUGACUGUGGCAACGGGCAAAAUGAGGACACAAGGAAGGCAAGGAAAAGAGCGAUGAUUACUCAUUUGAAGCUGGCCGGUGCCUCGGACGGGACCCAAGUCCUGGUUGGCAGCGGAGCCGCGUUCGGGCUCCCACCCCGCGAUUUUUCUGUGGACAAGGAUCCUCAAAGUGGACGAAUGCUGCACAAGGGAGCAGUGAGCAGUGCACAGCUGGUGACCCGCCGGCUGUUCGACCCCCCCCCCCUUUCGUCCAGUGACCCCGCUCUGCACAUCACGUCUCACCUACUGUAUAUGACUCAAACAGGACACAGACAUCAGCUUGGAGCGAGUGUGUGGACGUAUUGGAUUUAGCACCGAUUCUUUCGAUAGGUGGUUUAAAGAGAGUGUGAUAUAAUAUGAAAUAUAUUGGUGAUGAUUAGACAAAGGAUGUCGUUGCGUGUAAUUCCACAAUUUGUCAGCUUUUCAUUUCUUCUUUUGACGCUUGUCAUGUUCACAUGUUUGCACCUAUUGUAGAAACAGAGUGUGAAUGUGAGGAUUCAUCAUCACUUGGAUUUCAUCAUGUAUACAGUAUACUGUACAACGCCGCCUGGCUGGGUGUCAGCUGGUUGAAAG